UACAGAGGCCACGAGCGUUAGGCGGAAUCACCGGGCUUAAAGCGUGUGUAGGUGGAUCGGUAAGUACCUUGUAAAAUCCCACGGCUCAACCGUGGAACUGCUUGGUAUACUGCCAGUCUUGAGGCACUCAGGGGCGAGCGGAACAGAUGGUGGAGCGGUGAAAUGCGUAGAUAUCGUUUGGAACGCCAAAGGUGAAAAACAGACAGCUGGGAGUGUGCUGACGCUGAGACACGAAAGCCAGGGGAGCGAACGGG
rnacentral:rRNA from 1 species